AUACGUAGGGGGCGAGCGUUGUCCGGAAUGAUUGGGCGUAAAGGGCGCGUAGGCGGCCCGGUAAGUCUGGAGUGAAAGUCCUGUUUUUAAGAUGGGAAUUGCUUUGGAUACUGUCGGGCUUGAGUGCAGGAGAGGUAAGUGGGAUUCCCAGUGUAGCGGUGAAAUGCGUAGAGAUUGGGAGGAACACCAGUGGCGAAGGCGACUUACUGGACUGUAACUGACGCUGAGGCGCGAAAGUGUGGGGAGCAAACAGGAUUAGAUACCCUGGUAGUCCACACUGUAAACGAUGAAUGCUAGGUGUAGGGGGUAUCGACCCCUUCUGUGCCGCAGUCAACACAAUAAGCAUUCCGCCUGGGGAGUACGGCCGCAAGGUUGAAACUCAAAGGAAUUGACGGGG
rnacentral:rRNA from 1 species